rnacentral:lncRNA from 10 species
GACUGGCCAAUUUUUUUAAAAUUGUUUAUUGUAGAAACAAGGUCUCUAUGUUGCCCAAGCUGCUCUCAAACUCCUGGCCUCAAGCAAUGUUCCCACCUCAGCCUCCCAAAGCCCUGGGAUGACAGGAGUGAGCCACCACGCCCGGCAAUCAAGGCAAUCUGGAAAGAAUAAAGUUGGAAGACUCACACUUUCAUAUUUCAAAACUUACUACAAAGCUACAGUAAUCAAUGGAGUGUGAUACAGGCAUGAAGACAGACAUAUGGACCAGUGGAAUACAACAGUCCAGAAAUAAACCCUGGCAUGUAUGGCCAGAUGAUUUUUGAUGAGAGUAUGAACACCAUUUAAUGGGGAAAGGACAGUCCUUCCAUCAAAUAGUGCUGGGAAAAUUGGAAAUCCAGUUAAAUUUUUUAAAAAAGUGAAGUUGGAUCUUUACCUUACACCGUAUACAAAAAUUAACUCAGCCAGGCAUGGUGGCUCACACUUGUAAUCCUAACACUUUGGGAGGCUGAGGUGGGAGGAUCACUUGAGGCCAGGAAUUUGAGACCAGCUUGGGCAACAUAGUAAGACCCCAUCUCUGUCUGUAGUCCUAGGUACUCACCUGAACACAUGUGGUCCAUCCACAAAAUGGGAUAUUACUCCGUUUUUAAAAGUAGGGAAAUUCUGACACAUGCUACAACAUGGAUGAGCCUUAAGGUUUAAGAUGGUAACAUUUUUUUUUUUUUGAGAUGGAGUCUUGUUCUGCCGCCCAGGCUUGAGUGCAGUGGCACGAUCUCAGUUCACUGCAACCUCCACCUCCUAGGUUCAAGCGAUUCUCCUGCCUCAGCCCCCUAAGUAGCCAGGACUACAUGUAGCCAUCAACACGCCCAAUUAAUUUUUUGUAUAUUUAGUAGAGAUGGGGUUUCAUCAUCUUGCCCAGUCUGGUGUCAAACUCUUGACCUCAAGUCAUCCGCCCGCCUUGGCCUCCCAAAGUGCUGGGAAUACAGGCAUGAGCCACCGCACCCAGCCACAAUGGUAAAAUUUGUAUUGUGUAUUUUACAGUAAUAAAUAUGCCAAAGGCUAAAAAAAAUAAAGGUACAGUGGCCAGAGGAAGAAGGGCCCAACCUGGAAUUGGAGCAGAGCUGUGGGUGGGUGAAGACCCCGUGGUAGGCAAUGCAUUUUAGCUGAUGGGGUGCAGUAGUGUGUGCCGGGCAAAGCGGACAGUUCCAGCUCCCACAUCCAGGCUGCAGGGCCUUCAUCCACCCAGCUGGGAAUGCCUGCUCACUCUGCAGGAAUGUGCAGCUGCUACUCACCCCGUCUUGUGACCACCAGCAAAUGGUUUGUUGGUGUUAAGCUGUGGCCUCAGCCACCUCAACAGGGCCCUGUCUGGCCAUGGAGACGUUCCCCAAGUUCCAGUCAUUGUCAGCUGCUGGGACACUGCGGUACUGAAUCAGCCCGUUGGAGUCAUCCAAGUGUGAAAAGGUGGUUUUGGUAAGCAUGUGUUCUUAGCUGGCAAACUUUCAGAUCGUACCAACCCUUUCCUCUUUGGCUGGCACUCUUGGGUCCUGUUGAAGACUCCUCACUGCUGCAGGUCCGCGGCUAUUCGCUUGGUGCCCUGCUCUGGGGAAAGGCAGCCCGGGUCUGCCCCACUCCUGCCGAGUGUGCCGGCUCUUCCUUCGCGGGAGAAACCCUUCCCAGAAAAGCACCACUGGGGAGAGGCCCUGCCUCCUGCUCGUGACUUAGGACACACCACAAGCUCCAAGGGACCCAUCUGCGCAAAUGACAACCACAAAGGACACCUCUGUGGGGAGUCAUUGAUCUCACAAGGCAGGGAGGGGCCUCAAGGGGUACCCCAAAACAAACUGAGCAAAUGCAAGCUGGACCCAAAUGGCAGGGUUCUUCAGUGGCCCAAAGUGGACUGGGGUACCCAGCACUCAGGAGGCCAGUGUGCACCAAAGCCCAGGCUCGGGAGGACAGAGCGUUGGGCAGGGGCAGAGCCGGCCAGACUAUGGUGACCACAAGGCCAGGCCGGCCAACUGGCCCCUCACAGGCGCAGUCAGCAAGACACACAUGUGGCCUGUGAUGACACAGACCCUGGACUGGCACUCGAAGGUCAGAGCCAGGAUAGGCCAGCCCUGUUCUCACAGGCCUGUGGCCAGCAGGACAGUGCAGCCUCAAGGAACAAGCGAACUGAAACACCAAGAACAGCCCCGUGGGUGCAGAAGCCCUGGGCAGCAUCAGCGUCAGAACAGCUGCUUGCAGACCCACCGCCCCUCCCUCCCUCUCAGCCAAGUAACUCAGUGCUGCAGCAUCUGUACAAGAUAGAAGCACAUCAGUGAUGCCCCACAGCCACCGCAGGCCCCCGAGGCACACAGACAUGGCCAUUCAAAACAACCCACAAGGGCAGGCAAGGCUCUCUCCAGAAGACCACGACUCAUCCCAUCUAGACAGGCCAGGGCAGAAGCACAACACGCCAGAGGCAAGCACCCACCAAGACAGCCUGGCUCCACCACCCCCCACUCCUUCUGCAGGCUGAGAGACGGCGACAACAGCACCCUGGCACUGCACCACCCUGGACCACUCCUUGCUGUGCCAGGCUAAAGGACAGCCGGUCCUGCCCUCACAGAGCACGCGUGGCAAGGUCUCCACUGCUGAGACAGCAGUCACCUGGCUCUUUCACUUUAAAACGCCCCUGUGAGACUGGAACAGGAAUUAAAAGAAAUUAAAGAACGUGUAAGCAGAAACUCAGUUGUAAGAAAACCCAAUUCCCCCUGAGAAAGAGACAGAGCUGGAGUCCUUUAAAAAUUAACUGCCUGUUUUUCUGUGGCUAGUGAGCUUUAUCUCUCCCUUUCCCAGGCAUUGUGGAGACCCUGAUUCCCUAGCUGUGCAGCUGCAAGGUCACAGAUAAACUCAAGUCGCAAAACAUGUUUCUCCUUAAAAAGUAAGAAAUGACAUAAUGCAUGUCUCAAUUAAUUAAAUAACUGUCUUUGUUUCUCGCUUGUGUAAUAUGCUUCCCCCUGUACAGAUCUCCCCCCGCCCCAUGAGAUGCUUAAAAGGUAACUUAACUCUUUGUUUGGGACUCAGUCGUUUGGAUGUUAAUCCGACUGGGCUAGUGCACCUAAAUAAUAAAUAUCCUCCUGUACCCCAUCAGUUUCUCUGAUUCCUUAAAAAAUCCCGCUACAAGACAGCGGCCGCUCUGGGCUGUGUCUUUCACACUGAGUUCUCUCCCACCCAGCCUGAGGGAUCAUCUCCCAACUGCUGUGAGCUGAGCCGGUGCUCACAAGACACCUUAGACCCUUCAGGCUUGAGGUCUGUGCACAGCUACCUUCAAUGAAGAGCAUAAGUCAAGCUGCUCUUCAAUGAAGAGCAGAUGCCUUUCACUGCUGAAUUACCCAGAGAGGAAUUCGUGGUUGUGCCCAGGAUGGGAAAGGCUUCCAGGAGCCCCAGGGGUGAGGUGUACUCCAUACUCAGUGCUGGAAGCCUGGGGCAUCAGGAGGCCCCCACUCUGCCCCUCAUCCCCGAGUUCCUGGUCGCAGAUGCAGCGUCACACCUGAGAGCCAGAGGGAGGUUUCAGGGUGUAAUCUAGCCUGUGUGACCCCUUGUUCCUGAUGAACACCUGGAACCCAGGCCAGCAGCCUCCCCUGUGCCCACGGAGUAGGCAGUUGCAAAUGCACAUGCAGGAAGAAGGAAGUCCUUUCUCUUAGAUCCCACUCUGAGUUAUUGCUGUGGCAACCAUUCCUAACGCUCAUCUCCUUUUCUCCAGCCCGUCUCAGAAACACGUGGUGAAGCUCCAUGAUGAAACGCUCUGACCCACUCUGCAGGGUACAGCAUUAGCGUUCAGGUCGGCUUCCUGAGCCCAGGAAAUGUCCUGGCCCUGGCACAGCAGUGGGUGGCUGGUAGGGCCCUGAGCUAGGCAGGGAGGCCCCUCCUCAGGCUUCUCUGUUCUUUCCCAACCCUGGGAGGAACACCUGGAUGGGGCCACCCUCUGUCUACCCCACUGGCCUCAACAGAAUGAAAACCAGACUCAUGAGAUGCUCAAACUCCCAGGCAAGGAUCCCCAAGAACGGCAGAGCCCAGCAGGUGAGGCCUCCCAUGAACAGCAGAGCCCAGCAGGAGAGGCCCUCAGGAACAGCAGAGCCCAGCAGGUGAAGCCCCCAGAACAAAGGUGUCUGGCAGGUGAGGUCCCCUGAACAACAGUGGUGUCCAGCAGGAGAGGCCCCCGAGGAACAGCGUUGUCUGGCAGGUGAGACCCCCAGGGAUAGAGAUGUCCGGUAGAAGAAGCCUCCCAGGGACAGAGAUGUCCGGUGUCCAGUGUCCAGCAGGCGAGGCCCCCCAGGGACAGAGGUGUCCAGCAGGAGAGUCCCCCGACGAGCAUCCUUCUGAAUGAGUGCUCCAGAGGAGGCCCCUCUGGAGGUAGGUGGGUACAGUCUGGUGGCGACAUCCUGCAUGUGCACGCACAAGAGAAGAGCCCAUGCAAAUCCACAGGGCGAAUGCAAAGUCCUGCCGAGGAUCCUCUACUCUCUGCCCGGCCCAGGGGUACGUGGGGAAAGUAGGUGAGGUGGCUUUUCUUUCCUAUGGACCAGACCCUGCUGUGGGUCAGAGCUAGGGCCUCAGGACAGCACUCCCUCCAGGAGGCAAUUAUUCUUGAGGAGUCACUCUUCCAGGGCUGUCUUCCCUAGUGUCUUCUGUGAAGCGCCGUUGCUGCUGGUGAGAAGGAGGGGAGAGGAAAGCCAUCUUCAGAUGCUCAAGAAUCUGCCAGGUGUGAGAGGGACCAAAACUCGUCUCUGCAGCUCCCGAAGACAUAGCCAGGAUGACAGGGGAAGAGUAAGACAAAGGCGUUUUCAACUCCGUGCGGAGAACUUUAAACAGUGAGAACGCUCCAAGAACAGACAGGGUGAGCUGGAGGUUCCUCUCACCUGUGAGUCUUAGAUCCACAGCUGCACAUCAUACUGUCCCUUUUCAGCCCUGUACUGUCCCCUGGGCACAAGAGCUUGCCAUCUGCCCUGCAUCCUCACACCAGCUGGCAUGACCUCCUUGGGACACCCUGUGGAUGCCUUCCUUGCCACUGCACACUGUCCCCUGGCCGACGUCACUCUUGACUUUUAUACAAGCCUCGGGGAGUCCCUGAACCUCUGACACCUCUGUUUCCUUUACAUUUCCUGCAAAUUGAAAGUCUGGUCGGGAUCAGUGAUUCCCAACUCAUGCUCCACAGACUAGAAGGGGCUGGACUAGGGUGGCCCGAUGGUCAGACGGGCCUGGGAAAUGCUGGGCCAAGCAGAGUAAGCAGGUGUCUCUGCUGUGGAUUUCUCAGAGCCUUUAACUGGCACCUGUUGUGAAUCUCUGAGAGAGCAACAGGGCUUCUAGGCUCCUCUGCCCCUGGUGCCAACUGAUCUGCAACAUCAGAUCCAACAAGCCACUGGAGAGAGAAUGACUGAGGGUGGAAAAACAGUCUGGUGAGACAGAAACUGAAGGAGGAAACCAAAUGGCUCUGCUGUUUCUGAGUCCACAGGGCCUGGACACAGAACCCCGCUACUCAGUCAAACUCUUACUCUAGGAGUUGCUGGGAGGGCAUGUGGUAGCUCCGGGUGACUUCAAGUAAAGGAGCUUGUCCUCAAACAUCUGGGUGGACCUCCUGUCAAUAGCUGAAGGCCUUGAGAACCACACGGAAACUUCCCUGAGGAAGGAGAGAUUCCUCCCAUGGACUCAGUGUCAGCUCCAGCCUGAGAGUUUCCAGCCUCCCGCCUGCCCUGGAUUUCAGACUUGCCUAACCAGCACCCCCACAGUUGCAUAAGCCAGUUCCUCGCCAUAUAUGAUGCAGCCACAUUAAGCAUGAAACAUCUGUUUAGCAUCCAAAUGUGCCAAAGAAAA